UCGCCUGGACCACAUUGUCCUGGAACUGGCCUGGGGCUCUGAGCCACUGCCUUUGUCUCCCCCUCAGGACAGCUGCUUGCUCCUCCAUUAGGGUGUACUUCCGGGCGAAUCCUGUAACUUUUCAGAAUCUCAGUUUUCUCAUCUGUAAAUUGGGAGCAUGUUACUACCUUACAGAGUGGUCGAGUCUUCAGCGAGGUAGCACCUGUGAUGUGCUUGGCAUGGACGACGGGCUCGAGAUACCCCUGCUGCUCCUGGCUGCCAGCCCAUGGCCCUGUGACCGUGUGGGGCUCUCAGGCAGUCCCCAGGAUCGCAGCCUGCUUCUGCGAGCCAGCACGUCUCUGUCUUGCGGCCCACCCUUUCAGGUAACUCAAAAUCAACUGCUCUGGGAUCUUAAUUAUAUCUGCAGAACUCCAGCUUGGUCAUAUUGCAUAGGCGAGAAGCGAAUUCCUGGUCCCAUCCAUCGAUGACGAGGGGAUGACACAGGUGUAAACCCCCAGGGUUAGAAAUCAGUGGGGGUCACUUUAACAUCUGUCUGCCACAAAUGGUAAUGGUUGUUCCGACCUCUAUCGUCAAUUAGAAAUUAAUCAACGUAUCGGCUUAUUAGUUUGAAUGGACUUGUUAACUCAUCAGUCAGCUGGGCCAGGUUCCUCUCACCCAGCCUGUGUCCGUGGGAUCUAUCUGCGUUGCCGCCCGCGUCGGUCCCUUGCUCCUUUUCGCUGCUGCGACGUACUUCAC